CAACCUCAACUCAUAUGGGACUACCCCCUGAAUUUAAGCAUAUUAAUUAGGGGAGGAAAAGAAACUAACAAGGAUUUUCUUAGUAGCGGCGAGCGAAAAGAAAACAGUUCAGCACUAAGUCACUUUGUCUAUAUGGCAAAUGUGAGAUGCAGUGUAUGGAGCGUCAAUAUUCUAGUAUGAGAAAUUAAUGAUUUAAGUCCUUCUUAAAUGAGGCCAUUUACCCAUAGAGGGUGCCAGGCCCGUAUAACGUUAAUGAUUGCUAGAUGAUGUUUCCAAAGAGUCGUGUUGCUUGAUAGUGCAGCACUAAGUGGGUGGUAAACUCCAUCUAAACUAAAUAUAACCAUGAGACCGAUAGUAAACAAGUACCGUGAGGGAAAGUUGAAAAGAACUCUGAAUAGAGAGUUAAACAGUACGUGAAACUGCUUAGAGGUUAAGCCCGAUGAACCUGAAUAUCCGUUAUGGAAAAUUCAUCAUUAAAAUUGUAAUAUUUAAAUAAUAUUAUUAAGAAUAAUGUGCAUUUUUUCCAUAUAAGGACAUUGUAAUCUAUUAGCAUAUCCCAAAUUUAUCAUAAAAUAUAACUUAUAGUUUAUUCCAAUUAAAUUGCUUGCAUUUUAACACAGAAUAAAUGUUAUUAAUUUGAUAAAGUGCUGAUAGAUUUAUAUUAUUACAGAGCGUUAAUUUUUCGGAAUUAUAUAAUGGCAUAAUUAUCAUUGAUUUUUGUGUUUAUUAUAUGCUCUUGUAUGAUUAACAAUGCGAAAGAUUCAGGAUACCUUCGGGACCCGUCUUGAAACACGGACCAAGGAGUCUAACAUAUGUGCAAGUUAUUGGGAUGUAAACCUAAUAGCGUAAUUAACUUGACUAAUAAUGGGAUUAGUUUUUUAGCAUAAAAUAUAGCCUAAUUAACACAAUCCCGGGGCGUUC
rnacentral:ncRNA from 1 species